rnacentral:rRNA from 1 species
CAGCCGCCGCGGGAAUACGUAGGGUGCGAGCGUUAAUCGGAAUUACUGGGCGUAAAGCGUGCGCAGGCGGUUCGUUAAGACAGAUGUGAAAUUCCCGGGCUUAACCUGGGAACUGCAUUUGUGACUGGCGAGCUAGAGUAUGGCAGAGGGGGGUAGAAUUCCACGUGUAGCAGUGAAAUGCGUAGAGAUGUGGAGGAAUACCGAUGGCGAAGGCAGCCAUCUGGCCUAAUACUGACGCUGAGGUACGAAAGCAUGGGGAGCAAACAGGAUUAGAUACCCCUGUAGUCCCUGUCUCUUAUAA